rnacentral:lncRNA from 1 species
AUGAAUUGCAUGCAUUUUUGCAUGUAAUUAGGCUAUAAAUAGAGUGUUUUCAAAUGUUGAAGGACUUUUGCCUCUUUUAUCAUUUUCAUAAUCUCAACAAAAGAAAAAAGAAAGCUUCCAAUCUCAUUUUAUCUCCAUUACUUUCUACACCAAAAUUGGGUCCCACAACCCGGUUCUUUGUCUAGAGGAUAGCAGUUGAGUACUAGUGGUGGUCGGGUAGAAUUGGUAAGAAGACAUCAAACCUUUUGAAAGCUUCAAAGGUAAUACUUCUUAAAACCCUAAUUUGAUUAGUUUAUGGUUAGAUGUUAAUUGUGGCAAUUAGGGUAGAAAUUCGAUUCUUUUUCCGCUGUGCAUGACUUAGUUCUAUCAGAGAGAUGUUUCUAUUUACUGAUUAGACCACAAACAAGUUGUUCAUUAGAGAAGCACUAAUAUUUAAGAAGUAAGAAGUAAUACAGGGGUAAAAUAGUAAUUUGAAGGUUUAUUAGAUCCCCUUCCUAGCUCGUAAAGGGUAUUUAGGUUAUUAUAUAUUGACUGUAAUUUGAAAUGUUCAAAUCUACUUAAAAAAUUAAUAUAAUGUAUGGUGAUACAUUAUAAUAUAAACUUUAUAUUUUAAUUAAAUUUUAUUAUAUAAAAUAAAGUUUGGAAUACGAUCGCUUAUAUUUGGAAAACAAUCGAUAAUAUUUAGAAAAUGAUCGUUUAUAUUUGGUAGACAAUCGUUUAUAUUUGGAACACGAUCGUUUAAAUUUGGCUAACAAAUUUAAACGAUUUUUUAAAGAUUCUUUGUACACAAUCGUUUAUAUUUGAUUAUUUUGGUACAUGAUCGUUUAGAUUUGGCUAUCCAAUAUCUGAAUGAUUUUUUUUCAUGAUCUAUUAUAUUUGGAACAACUAAAUAACAGUUUAAAAAAUAGAUCUUUUAUAUUUAGUACACGAUAUUGAACCAAAUAACGAAAAACUACAGAAGAAGAAGAGAAAAAGAUAAUAGAAAGAAAAAAAACUGCAGAAGAGGGAGAAAAGAAAGACAAUGAAAAAGAAUGACAAACCUUAAAAUUUUAAAAAAAUGGUUAGUUUCAUGGGCUUUUUCAUUUUAUUACACGGGUCAUAAAUAUUUUGUCGGUUUGUUAUAUUUAUGAAAAUUAACCUUAGUUUAAUUAUAUUUAAUUAAAUUAAAACUAAAGAUUACACGAGAGGUAUUAAUUUAAGGGAUAGUUGCAAACAUAACAAUUAUAUUAAAAAAAUUAAAUAUAUAACAACUUUUUAAAAAUAUUGCAAAAAUAUAGCAAAAUAUGUCAAAGUCUAUCAAUAACAUGAGUCUAUAAUUGAUAGAUCAUUUUGUAAAUAUUGGUCUAUCACUGAAAGACCAUAUGAGGCUAUCGGUGACAGAAGUCUAUCAUUGUAGACUUUGCUAUAUUUACAAUUUUUAUAUAAUGUUGCUAUAUACUUAAUUAUUAUUCAUAAAAUUACUACAUAUUGUAAUUACCUUUAAUUUAAAUCAUAAAGGUAAUUAAAUAUAUUUUAAUUAGGGGAAUUUUUAAAAAUAUUAAUUUUACAAAAUAUUUACAACUUAUAGCAAAUGCUAUAGUGAUAGAAGACUAACAAUGAUAGAAUCCAAAAGUUUGCUAUAGGUUGUAAAUAUUUUAAUUUAUUUUGCUAUUUUUAAAAUGUUCAUUUUAAUUAAGGGAAAUUGUCAAAAAUAGAAAAUUUGACAAAAUAAUUACAAGAUAUAGCAAAAUUUUAGAUUCUAUCAAUAGUAGACAUCGAUAGAAACUGAUAUGCUUCUGUUAAUGAUAUUGAUAGAUAGUGAUAAAAGUCUAUUAAUUUCUAUCUCUGAUAGAAUCUAAAAUUUUGCUACAAUUCAUAAAUAUCAAAUAUAUAUUUUUAAUUAAUUAUACUAAAAUAAUCAAUUAAUUUAAUUAUAUUAAAUAGACCAAAUAACUCCCUUACAUAAGAGUUAUUUAAGUGAACGUACGUGGGAUGCUCUCAUGUAUCCCCGCUUUCAAACUUCUUUCUUCUUUUAUAGGAAAGUAACGGAAAAUUGAAAGUUAUUUUGCUCUCUCAAUAUUUUCUCCAAAAUCCCAAAAGGAUACCCACAAACCUUAAGCUUCAGCUACUCUUGAGAAUAGAAGAGAUUUCAAGUGCUGCUGACUCCCCAAUGGAUGUUUGUUAGAGAUCAUAGACGACUAGGGUAUGGUUUUUUUUCUUUUAAUUUCUAUUUUAAAUGCAUGCUUAGCCAUUUAUUUUACAGUAGGUUGUUGUUUUGUAAUUAUCAAUAUAUUGAUAUUUCUAAUUUUUCAAUUAAUUUGAGUUUAGGGUUCUCUAAAAUUUUUCUCUCCAUAAGAUCUUUAAUCCUUUCACAGAUAUAUAAAAAUAUUUAACAUUAGGUUUUCUCCUCCACAAACUUUCAUAAUUUGUGCUGAGAGUACCAAGACAAAGAGACACACAAUUGUGAAAAUUACAACAAACGAUGUUUAAAGCUUCUCUCCAGAAAUGAUAGGUAAGAUUGUUAACAUGAAUCAUAGCACCAACCAUUUCUUGAAGAGUACGAUUCUUCUUUUUCACAAAACAAUUCUAUUAAGGGGUGAUUGGAGUAGAGAACUCAGGAUGAAUUUCAAAUGAGCUACAAAAAUCAGAGAAUUCAUUUAAAUUUUCAAACUCUCACCACGACCACGACCACUACAUAUUUUAAUUAUACGAAUAUUCUUCUCAUUCUAUAGUCGAAUACAUAAGUCUUUGAAGGUUUCAAAAGUUUCAAAUUUCUCACGAAGAAAUCUAAUCCAAGUGUAUCUUGAGAAGUCAUCUACACACAAGUAUAUAUAUUUGCAUAUGUCCCAUGAGAUCCAUGUGGAUUAGUUUGAGAUAUGAUUAGUAAUUGUAUGAGAGUCAGAUGGACAAUGUUAGGAGACUUAGAAUAGCAUUGUAGGAUGCAACUUUCCAAUAGCACGUAUAUACAUGUGACCAAACCAUUUAUGCCAUUGAGACAAUUCAUAAUGACGAGAGAGAUGAGUAACCUAGGAAAAAUCAUUAGGGUGCAACAAAUUACAAUUCUUAGAAGAAUGGUGCGUAACUAUCAUAAUUUAUGCAUCUGCGUCACUAGAGACAAUACAUUUGUCCUUGGUAAUCUUGACAUUUAAACUUUAAUCACACAGUAAGUCGACACUAAUAAGAUUUGCAUUUAGACUAUCUCUCAAAAUCACAUCCUUUAUGGUAGGUAAGCCUGGAAAGUUCAACAUUCCUUUUCCAACCAUUUUUGCAAAGGUAUCAUCACCAAAGGUGACUUUCCUAGAUAAUUGAUUUCACAUUAGUUAUAUAACUUAUUUCUUUACUCAUAUGAGAGAAACUAUCAUUGAAAGUACCAAUCUCCUUUAAUAAAAGAUCUAAAUGGGGUAAGCAUGUCAUGUUCCACCCCAAAAGUCGUCACUUUACGCAACCUAGUGAAGACGUGCCACCUAGACACUUAAUGUGUAUCUCACCGCGAGAUAGCACGUUGAACGCCUAGUAAGCGAAAUUACUUAAACAACCACUCUCAACACAAAGCUUGAACUUUUAAACUUAAGACUUUCACAACGCAACAUAAUACAACAAACGAUUUCUUUGUUAACUUAGCAAUAAUACAAUACAAAGCUCAUCGAUCCUUUCUUUACAACAAAGCUAAAAUAUAAACUUUAGGCUAUCAAUGCCCAAUGCCACUUCUUGUCUUAAACCAUAAGUCAAAUACUUAGUGGGUGAUGCUUUUAUAAAUCAUCUUAGGGAAUACAAUACAAUCACAUAAACUCAUUUUCAUUUUCAUAAAUAGUCUCUCAACGCCCCAUUUCAAUAAAAAUAUAAAAUCACACACUAGCCUUUGCUUAUUCCUUCCCCAAAGAACAUGAACUAUUCCCUCACAUAGACUUGAGAUUCAUCUCACCAGCAUCUUUUGGGAAUUUUCCUAGUUCAUUUCCCAUUGCUUAGGUCAUUCAUUCAACACCUUUACUCAUUAUGCGCACAUCACAUAAUAGUUAGCUCAUUGAGAGGAAUAAGGCUAAUGGUUUACUCACAUACAAGCAUCACAAUCAUUAGUCAAGACACAUUAGUUCAUAAACUUUCUUUUAAAAUAAACAACAUCAAUCCCCUUACAAGUUAGAAUAAUGGUAUCGACAUGCAUGAUAAAUGUGCCAAAACGCGUAACUUAUGUUAUAAAUACAUAAUUAUUUAGAAAUGCACUUUACAUGAAUAUCAUGUCUGGAUUACCAUGUUUUUAAUGUUUAAACGCAGAAUUAUUAACAAAAGAACAAGCUGGCAAAUCGUAGAGGAGCCGCAAAGGGAUAAGGCGAGAAGACCAAAUCAUUACGCGAGAAAAGGUUUGCUAGAAGACAAAAGUGGUAGAUGGAGUAAUGUGACUUGAUGAAAAGGAUAGCUUUCGAUGCUGUCAUGGUUAGAAUGAUAAAUUUCCUUCCAAAAGCUGCCUAUAAAAGAAGCUCCAUCUCCAUCAAGUGUUGGUGUAAGGCAUGUAUCAGCCAUAACACUACAAGAAAAUAUAUAUUUCUUGACGCACAACACAGACGUUGAGAUAAAAUACAUCGGGAGAAAAAGUUUCUCCUGAUGUCGUAGAAGCUCUAUUGGGAAAGGUAGGCCAUCCCAACGUGACAUAAGGUGACGUUGGUAUAAGUUAAUGUAAUAAAAAGUUUUAAACCUUUUCUGAUGUCAUUAUGCAUGGGUCAGAAAAUUUUUAUUUUUUAAAAAAUUUUAAACUUCUCCGAACUCCAUUAUGCAUGGCGUCAGGAAAAGUUCAAAUUUUCUUAAAAUUUUAAACUUUUUUCGAUGUUGUUAUGCAUGAAAUUGCGAAAAGUUUAAUUUUUUUAAAAAAAUUUAAACUACUUUCGGAUGUUGUGCCUAAUGGCGUCAGGAGUUUCCCUUUAAAAUCCCAAGAUCGUGAAAUAUUCUGUCUUCCGUCGUUCUUUUCUUCUCUUUUUUCCUCGAACGUCUCUCUCCCUUCUCUUUUCUUCUCUUCUUCCUUCUUUUUCUCUUUUCUUUUUUUCUUUUUUCUCUUCUUCCUUCUCCUUCCCCUUUUUACUCUUUUUUAUUCGUUUGAUCUCCCUUUCUUCAAAGAUAUGAGAAGAAGAGAAAGAGGACACUGCAUGCUACCGUUAAGGAUGUCUUAGUGGUCACCGAUCGUGGUAAACCGCGACAGCUAACCAAGUGCGUAGAUUUAUUUGUUUGUUUGUUUGUUUUUAUUUAACUCUAAAUUGUUUGUUCUUUAUUUUAUGAUGAAUCUGCAUUUUGAUUUCUGUUAUGCUUCAACUUACAAGCCAAAAAUGGUGAGGCCAAUUCAUUUUACAAUUUUUAACUUUGAAUAAAUUUUUUUAAAGUAAUAUUAAUGUUGAUUUUCUUUUAAAGUAAUACUAGUUCUGAAUUUUUUCCUUUUUUUUUUUUUUUUGGGUAAGACUCUUUCAGUAUAAACCUUCCUUUUAAUAAUGGAAGAUAUUUUUAAAAAAAUCAAUAUAGGAUCUACCAAUGCACAAGAUUAAGCGUUGAGAUAUCCUACACACAUCUCUCGAUGCGUAAUCUUGUGCGUUGAGAGAUCCACUCCUGACACAUUUUGCCUAACUCCGGUCCUGACAAACGUUUAUUUGUUGGGAGAUCAUUUCCCAACACUUUUUUUUUGUUUAUCUCUCGACGAUUUUAUGUGUCGGGAGAUACCCUUUUUUUUGUAGUGUAAGACUAGACGUCUAGAUUGAUUGGUCGUUCCUAAAGAGUCGGUGGCAAGGAUUAGCCCUUACCAUCAGUUGUAAACCAUUCUUUUCUUCUCCAUUCAGUCGGUAAAGUGAGAGCAUGCGAUCUGAAUGAAGAAGAUAUCAUCCUUCAUUCCCCUUUUUCUUCUCUUUCCAUUUUAAUUAUUUCUUUACAUUGUAUUUGUUUAUUGUACAGUAGUGGAAAGCUUAUAUUCUUUAAUACAAUGUAUGAUUGUACACUUUUCUUUCCAUCCAUCUCUUUACUGUUCAUUUGUCCUUAUGUUAUUUGUAGUUUAGGUUUACAAUUCAUAUUUAUCAAGUAAUCUAGCUUAUAAUACUUGUUACGUUAGUCGAGCUACACUUUAUACUUGGUCAGUGUAUGUCGCCAACUGCUUGAAAGGGUAAGUAACAAAGACGUGACUAACACAAGCAAGGAAGAGUUUUCUCAACCUUGGCGAGAUGACUUCCUUCAUUUGUAUCCCGAAAGAUGAACAAGUUGGACAUUAGGCGUUAAGAGGUUGUCAUCCUUAGAUGUGAAACAUUCCAAGUAUUAUAAGUGAACACUACUAGAUAUAACUCGCUUAGCUAGAUUUAGUCAUUUGGAUCCCGAAAGGAGACCAAGUGUGGCGUUUAAUAACUCUAAGAGGAGCACGUCUUAAUCAUAAACUAGUUAUGUGAGGUGUAUCAUGUUAAGAUGGUCAUAUAGCUUAUUUGCCUAGUAGCAUUAAACAUUUCUUCACCACAUUCCCCUUACAAGUUAGUUCACUCAAUCUUCCAUUACACAACCACCUCAUUUAAUUCACUUUACAGGAUCUCUAGGAUAGUAGGUAGUUUUUAUUCUUUUUAUAUUCUUUUAACUCAUUUGUCAUAAAGUCUAGCUGAUAAAUAGAUCAUAGAACUAAGCUUUGAUAUCAAUUUUCUGUGUUCGACCCUGGAUCACCCAGGUAAACCUAUUGUUCGCUUACACUUGGACAAGCAAUUGAAAAACUUGCACUUGCAGACGUAGCAGUGGGUGGUGGAGACAUUGGAAGGAUUUUGCAUACAAUGACAUAUCAACUCGCAUGAUAAAGAUAAUAUUGGAGAGAAUUUUGUAUGCAAUGAACCGUAUUCAAUGACACGUCAUUACACCACCAAACUAACAAACUAACAAAUAGUCAUUCUAUGAUAAGUUUGAAUGCUAAGUUCCAUGAAACACAAUCCCAAUUUCAAAAAAAUUACAUUCACAAUCCUCACAUCUUGGUCGAGAGUUUCAUGAAAGUAAGGUUUUCAUAAGCAAAACAAAAACCCCCAAGAAGGUUUUUGAACCAAGCAGCAGCAUAACCCUUAAGUAAUUUCUUAACAAAAUCUCAACAUAACACCAAUUUUCUCGUCUCUUAUUUAUAUUAAUCCUUUUAAUCUACUUAAUCAUCACUUAAGCCUCUCUUAGCUCGCCACGUCCUACUUCUUUACACAUGUCAACGUAUAAUUCAUUAGGCCAUGCUACCAUGUUAAGCUCAAUACAUAGCCAACUGUCAACUCAAGAUUAGACAUUCCAUUGAGAUCCUAACCUUGUCUUCACAUACUCUCUCUAACACGGUACACCAGAACGCCUAACCAUUCCAACAUCAAAAUGCUUAUUUUUUUGUCUCUAGUUUCAUCCAAACACAGCCUCGGAAUGGCCUAAAUGCUCUUUAGUUUUCACUUUGAGCUUUCAAUAUCCACAGGUCAUGGCCUCAAGAUUGUCAAGUUUUUAACUUCCUAAGCUUUUUGUCCUUCAUCUCGAUCAAACAAGCAUUAAGGUGGCCCCGAGAUCACACUUGUGUUUUUAAUCUUGCCCACGAUUCCACAUGACUGCUCGAGAUCCUAACACAAAAAGUAUUAUAACUUUCCUUUCAAUCGAGCAAGACAGAGUUUUGCCUAUUCUUUUGAGGCACCAAUCUCACAAGGCACUACAUUGCAUUUAAGUUGAUGUUCUUUUACUCUCCAUAUUUGUUUAGAUUGAGCUUGAUGCUUAAAAGGUCUAGAAGAUAUUUUUCUUUGAACUGAACUUUGAGAAAAGCCAUGCAUAUGGUAACAAAAAGGAUGUUUAUGCCCAAGUUUCUUACAAAAAUAACAAACUCACCUUCUUAUGUGAAAAUUAACAUAAAAAAGUCUUUGUCUAAAAGAAUAAGAUUUUUCCUUGGAAUUUGAGCAACUGAACGCUAACAAACUAAUUUUUUUCCUUUGUUAAUAUUUGAUUUAGAGUUUGAAAUUAUAGAUUUUACAAAGCCAAGUCCAGAGUGAUCUUUGGUAGACUACAAGUUUGUCCAGAGUGUUGGUGUCAGGAUUAAGCAUUCUAAUGGACUUACACAUUUCUUCUUUUUCUGUUGGAACAAUAUGUAUAACCCAUGUUGUAGAUUAGUGAUAGUAGACAUCAAUUUGUGAUUAUCCUACACUAAUGUCUCAAUUCUCUCUUUUUGAACAUAUCAAGCACAUUCCAAUCCACUUCCCAUUUCAUGAAUAACAUCAUGUACGAAGGAUUAAAGGAAUCUUUUAUAGAAGGACUGCUAUAAAUCCCCUGAUAUGCUUCAAAAUCUGGAUCUUCAUAUGGACAGGUGUUUGAAGAUAUGUUGCUAACAAGAGCCUUAACAUUAAAGUUAGAGUCAUUCUUUCAUCCGAAUCAACAUCUGUUGACGUAUGAAAAUCACUUUUGUUCUAUUUUUUCAGUAAUGUUGGACACUCAACUUGAAUAUGUCCAUUACUUUUAAAUUCUCUACAUUUGAAGGACUUCCAUUUCUCAAACAAACAAGAGCUACUAUAUUUUUUUCAUUUUCUUUUCAAGAGCUUUGAGUUCUCAGAGGUUUUUUUAAAGGCCUCCGUUGGACUUUGCAGGCUUGGAGCGAGAGUUUCUUAAUCUUUUAUCAAAACACUUCAUUACACGAAUGAAUUGUUUAGAAAGCAAAGAGAUUGAUUUUGCAAGAGCCUUAUCAAAGUUUUGAGAACUUUUACUGGCAUCAUCACAAAUAAAUAGAAGGGAAUUUUUUUUUUUUUUUAAUCCUAAUUUCCCUUAAAUAACAAUUCAAGAGUUAAGAGUAACCAAAACAAUUCAUCUACUUUCAUAGAUGAGUUAUCUUAAGCUUCCUAAAUUGCGUGACUUUCAUGUUAAAGAAUUUUGUCAAGGAAAUACAUAAUAUUUUUUACAAGCUUUUUUCCAAGAGAAAAGAACUUAUUCGCUAGGUCAAGUAAUCUCAUAUUCAAUUUAGUAAUAGUUUCAUCCUCUUGCAUUCAAAGAUUCUCAAACUUUGUAGAUAGGAACUGAAGUCUAGACUGUUUAACUUAGAACAUUUUAAGCAUCUUUUGCGGUCACACGUAUUAAUCAACUAAAAUAUAUUUCUAUUGACUCCAAUGAAAAUGGCAUUCUAGGCACGUCAGUUUUCUAGAGAUGUUUCAUCUUAUGUAGCAUAGUUUAUUCAACCUUAAGCUUGAGUGAGAUUUUUCCAUCCUCACUAGUAAUAGUAAGAUCAAUCCAUCCAGCUACAAUGGACUUCCAAGACUUGCUUCAAAUCUAAUGACUUGAUGAAAUUUGUCUCUUUGCCUUCCAAAAUUCGUAGUUAGUCUCAUCAAUUACAACAAGACGAUUCUUAGAGUUGUUUUAUGUAUAACAAUCCACGAUCGAGAUACCUGAGAUGAAGGUAACCUAUGAUACCAUUUUAAAUUAUGUAAAGACGAAUCUAGUGUGAACUAAGAUGUCACACAAUAUGUCCUAGGAAGAAUAAUAACAACAGUGAAAAUAAAAAAAGUAACCAAAGAAUACACAAGAGUUGGUAACCUAGUUUGGUGUAAUAACACCUACCUUUAGGGGCAGAAUGCAUAUGAAAGAUAAUCCACUACUAUCAAUGAGUUAAGUGAUAACUUGUAGAAAUACAAGUUAUUGUAGCCUCUUUUAUAGAAUAACGAGGCAAAGAUGUAGGAGAAAUGUAUCAAAACGUGUAGUUUAUGUUGAAAAUGCACAAGUAUUUAGAAAUAUACCUUACAUAAGUUGUCAUACAUGUUUUGCCGUAUGUUUAAUACUUUAACGCAGGAUGGUAAACAAAUAGAAGAAGCUAGCGAAUUGCAAGGGAUCUCGUGAAAAGAGACUUGGCGAAAAGGCUACAACAUGAGGCAAGAAGCAAUCCACUAAAAGACAAAUUAAAAUAGUAGUUUGAGUGACAUGAUCUAUUUGCAAAGAUUACUUUUGAUACGCACAACUCGAAGGACAAUUUUUUGCCCAAAGUGUCUAUAAAAAGCUUCCUUCUACACUAUUCAUGAAGGAGACAUGUAUAGGCCAAAAGAGCCUAGAGAGGCCAAAAUGUCCUAGAGAAGUGGAGAGGACUAGCCUUUCCACCGAAUGCAAAGAACCUUUCUUCUUCUUUUUCGAUUAGGUUGUUCAGUGUGAAGCUUAGAAUCUGACCAGGAAGAAAUCCACCAUUCAUUUCUCCCCUAACUUGUAUUGUUUUGCCACUCUCUUUCCUUUUCAUUUUUGCAUUCAUUGUGUAACAUAUUUUGUUUAUAUUGUACAUUGGCCAAAGGCCUGCAUUCUUUCAUAUAUUACACAUUUAUACAUUUUUCAAUAUGGUAUUCCUUUA